CAGGUUUUAGUUUAUAUAAGAACAAUCGGCUGUUAAUCGAUAAGAGAAGUGCUUUCAAACUUGG
rnacentral:tRNA from 1 species